GAACUUACUGCACAAUUUACAAUACAAUCCAGAGGGUUCUAGUUGGUGAUAUGUCUGCUGUGGACCUUGUUAAGACUGUAACCUUGUUUAGGUCACAGCGGAUGGGAAUGGUUCAAACAGCGGAGCAAUACCAGUUCUGCUACGAAGCUAUUGUUGAUGAACUUGAAGACCUCAUUUCAGAGUCCACAAGACAGGUGGUCAUAUAAAUCUCCAAUCCACACUUAAGGUGUCAUUACAGCUAUAUUAAUUUGCACUUUGUUGGUGAAGUUGUGGCUGCAAAAAUGGAAUAGUCCAGCCAUGUUUGGUCCAAAGUCAAGAUUGAGCUGUACUGCUUCCAUCAGGUUUCUUAACUUUCUUUAUUUCAGCUGUAAAAGUUGAACGAAGGAUGAUGUGAUAUUGUUUUCUUUAUUUCAGCUGUAAAAGUUGAACGAAGGAUGAUGUGAUAUUGUUUUAGCCGAACGAAGUUAUUUCACGUCCA